CCUGUUCUGUUCUAUCCUAAUCAAUUUCUAUUUUAUUCGAUACUAUUCUGUUUUAUUCUAUUUUAUACCAUCCUAUCCUGUUCUAUUCUAUUCUAUACUAUUGUAUUCUAUUCUAUCUUGUUCCAUUCUGUUCCAUUCCAUUUGAUUCUAUUUUCUUCUAUUCUAUCCUGUUCUACUCCAUUCUGUCCUCUUCUAUCCUGUUCUGUUCUAUCCUACUGUAUUCCAUUCUAUCCUAUUCCAUUCUGUUCUAUUCUUAUCGAUCCUAUUCUAUUCUGUUAUGUUCUAUUUGAUCCUGUUCUGUUCUAUCCUAAUCAAUUUCUAUUCUGUUUGAUAUUAUUGUUUUAUUCUAUUCUAACCAAAUGUAUUCUAUUCUCUCUUAUUCUAUUCUAUUCUAUUCUAUCCUGUUUACUCUAUUCUAGCCUCUGUUCUAUCCUACUGUAUUCUAUUCUAUCCCAUUCCAUUCUGUCCUAUUCUAUUCGAUCCCAUGCUAUCCUAUCCUGUUCUAUUCUAUACUAUUGUAUUCCAUUCUAUCUUAUUCCAUUCUGUUUCAUUCUUUUCGAUUCUAUUCUCUUCUAUUCUAUCCUGUUCUUUUUAUUCUACUGUAUUCCAUUCUAUCCUAUUCCAUUCUGUUCUAUUCUUAUCGAUCCUAUUCUAUUCUGUUCUGUUCUAUUUGAUCCUGUUCUGUUCUAUCCUAAUCAAUUUCUAUUCUGUUCGAUACUAUUGUUUUAUUCUAUUCUAACUCAUUGUAUUCUAUUCUAUUCUAUUCUAUCUUAUUCCAUUCUAUUCUAUCCUAUCCUAUCCUAUCCUAUUCUAUCGUAUUCCAUUCUGUUCUAUUCUAUCCUAUGCUGUUCUGUUCUAUACCAUUCUAUUCUAUUCUAUCUUAUUAUUAUAUUCUAUUCUAUUCUUUCCUGUUCUAUCCUCUGUUCUAUCCUACUGUAUUCUAUUCUAUCCUAUUCCAUUCUGUCCUUUUCUAUUCGAUCCUGUUCUGUUCUGUUCUAUUCAAUCAUAUUAUAUCUUAUCCUGUUCUGUUCUGUUUUGUUCUAUUCGAUUCUCUUCUAUUUUAUUCUAUUGUGUGUGUGUGCAGGAGAUCCAGUCUCUGCUCUUAAACUGGAAGGGUCCGGAUCUGACCACAUACGGUGA
rnacentral:lncRNA from 1 species